UUCAGACUGCAGGCUGCAACUCGCCUGCACGAAGUCGGAAUUGCUAGUAAUCGUAGGUCAGCAUACUACGGUGAAUACGUUCCCGGGCCUUGUACACACCGCCCGUCAAACCAUGAGAGUUGGCAACACCCGAAGUCGGUAGUCUAACCGCAAGGAGGACGCCGCCGAAGGUGGGGUUGAUGAUUAGGGUUAAGUCGUAACAAGGUAAC
rnacentral:rRNA from 1 species